rnacentral:rRNA from 1 species
GUGUUAACACAUGCAAGUCGAACGAUGAUCUCCAGCUUGCUGGGGGGAUUAGUGGCGAACGGGUGAGUAACACGUGAGUAACCUGCCCUUGACUCUGGGAUAAGCCUGGGAAACUGGGUCUAAUACCGGAUACGACCGUCCCGCGCAUGCGGUGGUGGUGGAAAGCUUUUGCGGUUUUGGAUGGACUCGCGGCCUAUCAGCUUGUUGGUGGGGUAAUGGCCUACCAAGGCGACGACGGGUAGCCGGCCUGAGAGGGUGACCGGCCACACUGGGACUGAGACACGGCCCAGACUCCUACGGGAGGCAGCAGUGGGGAAUAUUGCACAAUGGGCGAAAGCCUGAUGCAGCGACGCCGCGUGAGGGAUGACGGCCUUCGGGUUGUAAACCUCUUUCAGUAGGGAAGAAGCGAAAGUGACGGUACCUGCAGAAGAAGCGCCGGCUAACUACGUGCCAGCAGCCGCGGUAAUACGUAGGGCGCAAGCGUUAUCCGGAAUUAUUGGGCGUAAAGAGCUCGUAGGCGGUUUGUCGCGUCUGCUGUGAAAGACCGGGGCUCAACUCCGGUUCUGCAGUGGGUACGGGCAGACUAGAGUGAUGUAGGGGAGACUGGAAUUCCUGGUGUAGCGGUGAAAUGCGCAGAUAUCAGGAGGAACACCGAUGGCGAAGGCAGGUCUCUGGGCAUUAACUGACGCUGAGGAGCGAAAGCAUGGGGAGCGAACAGGAUUAGAUACCCUGGUAGUCCAUGCCGUAAACGUUGGGCACUAGGUGUGGGGGACAUUCCACGUUUUCCGCGCCGUAGCUAACGCAUUAAGUGCCCCGCCUGGG